UACGUAGGGGGCUAGCGUUGUCCGGAAUCAUUGGGCGUAAAGCGCGUGUAGGCGGUUCGGUAAGUCCGCUGUGAAAGUCCAGGGCUCAACCCUGGAAUGCCGGUGGAAACUGUCGAGCUAGAGUCCGGAAGAGGCGAGUGGAAUUCCUGGUGUAGCGGUGAAAUGCGCAGAUAUCAGGAGGAACACCAAUGGCGAAGGCAGCUCGCUGGGACGGUACUGACGCUGAGACGCGAAAGCGUGGGGAGCAAACAGG
rnacentral:rRNA from 1 species